rnacentral:rRNA from 1 species
GUCUAUGGCCAUACCACCCUGAACACGCUGAUCUUGUCUGAUCUCAGAAGCUAUCCAGGGUCAGGCUUGCUUAGUACUUAGAUGGGAGAACUUGAUUGAACUGACCUAUACU